ensembl:lncRNA
UGUUUGUACACCGUAAAAAUCAUCCAAUUUAGUGGUCCUGAUGGAAUGGACUUAACGUCUGUGUCACCUGGUGAGAUAAGAAGACUGUCGGGGUUGGAAGCAAUCCUGCGAAUCAAGGCUGGCCUGGCACUGCUGUGUAUCAGGUAGCCAUGGAAAUCUGCUCUCCAGGUAGAUAAGCAGCCAAGUGCCACCACCUGGGCCCAGACACAGGAAGAAGAGCCAAAGAAGCCAGCAAUGGUGGAGAUCUCUGAGCUGCCUUGGAGAGUCCAGUGUUAUAUCUGAAAUGAAAUGCUCAGGAAGACGAAUGAACAGCCCCUGCAAUAAGUAGAUACAGAGACUUCUCCAAGAGGUGAGUCUCGUUCUCAUGUACGUUACUGAAAUAGGUAUAAUUAUGGGUCAUGUGGUUUUUUAUUGCUCCUGAAACUCUCUUGGUAUCUAGCUGUAUAAAUGAAGAUUUAAUGAUAUGAGUCAUCAGAGAUCUGUAGUCUUGAUGACAGCGAGCUCCACAGUAUGUAUGUUUUCUUGUCUCUGUUUUGCUCCCUGACAGAUUCUUAAAACGAUCUCUGCAUUUUGGUAUGAGGAGAAAAUCAGUAUAGAUUUUUAAUGCAUUCAUUUAUAUUCUCUACUCUUGUUCUCUCCCUACUUUGUUGUCAUCUCUUCUGUUGUAACAUGGGUAAAUCUGUUCUUCUGCUCUCUUUAGAUUCUCCUUGCCUCAACCUCCAGUUAUUAGUGGCCACCCUGUCUUUGUGAAGUGCUGCUUUGCCUUUUGUGUGGUCAGUUCCAGCAUAUCCUUACUGCCCAAGUGUUUGGACCGGUGCUGUGCUGCUCAUCCACCUUCUGGCUGGCCCUCAUGGAGUGCCCUUACUCUCUAGAUGCCAUCGAUACAUUUCACCUUCAUCAAUAAAGAUUCCUACCUUGCUGCUUUUUCAGGCAGAAAAGCACAUUCAGUAUUUCCCAGUAUUUAUGAGGGCUUUCCUACAG